UUCAAGAAGAGCAGAGCAACAUUGUCAGUGACCGAACAGUGGAAGAUGAGAAAUUGGAGAAAAAGCUUGGACCCCUGGGAUUGACUGUUAAUGACAUUAAGCCAGAUGGGCACUGCCUCUAUAGAGCUGUUGAGGAUCAGCUGGCUCACCUGUCAGGAGGUGCUUCUCCUUAUAAUUACCAACAGCUUCGACAAAUGGUGGCUGCCUAUAUGAGAGAUCAUUCAUCUGAUUUCCUACCUUUUUAUCUUUCUGAAAAUAUGAUAGGUGAAGAUUCUGCUCAAUCACAAGUAGAGAGAUUUGAGAACUACUGUAAAGAAGUUGAGUCAACC
rnacentral:lncRNA from 1 species